rnacentral:ribozyme from 1 species
GCAGUCUGGAGAACUUUCUGGACUCGCCACAGCAGCUGGAA